UACGGAGGAUCCGAGCGUUAUCCGGAUUUAUUGGGUUUAAAGGGUGCGUAGGCGGCCUUUUAAGUCAGCGGUGAAAGUCUGUGGCUCAACCAUAGAAUUGCCGUUGAAACUGGGGGGCUUGAGUAUGUUUGAGGCAGGCGGAAUGCGUGGUGUAGCGGUGAAAUGCAUAGAUAUAUGGAAGAACACCAGUGGCGAAGGCGGCCGCCUGGCCUGUUACUGACGCUGAGGCACGAAAGCGUGGGGAGCAAAUAGG
rnacentral:rRNA from 1 species